CACGUAGGGGGCAAGCGUUGUCCGGAUUUAUUGGGCGUAAAGAGCUCGUAGGUGGUUCGGUAAGUCAGGUGUGAAACCUCCAGGCUCAACCUGGAGACGCCACUUGAUACUGCUGUGACUGGAGUCCGGUAGGGGAGCGUGGAAUUCCUGGUGUAGCGGUGAAAUGCGCAGAUAUCAGGAGGAACACCGAUGGCGAAGGCAGUUCUCUGGGCCGUAACUGACGCUGAGGAGCGAAAGCGUGGGGAGCGAACAGG
rnacentral:rRNA from 1 species